GCGCGAGUGGCGAAAUUGGCAGACGCGCUAGAUUUAGGUUCUAGUGCCUUCGGGCGUGGGGGUUCAAGUCCCCCCUCGCGCACCA
rnacentral:tRNA from 1 species